rnacentral:rRNA from 1 species
UACGGAGGGUGCGAGCGUUGUCCGGAAUCACUGGGCGUAAAGGGCGCGUAGGCGGUCUGCUAAGCGUGCGGUGAAAGCCUGGGGCUCAACCCCAGGUCUGCCGUGCGAACUGGUGGACUUGAGCACUGUAGAGGCAGGUGGAAUUCCGGGUGUAGCGGUGGAAUGCGUAGAGAUCCGGAAGAACACCGGUGGCGAAGGCGGCAUCCUGGACCGGCAUUGACGCUGAGGAGCGAAAGCCAGGGGAGCAAACGGG